GAGAGAGACCACACCAAAGAAAAUUCACCAUUUAACACCUCCACCCCAUCUCCAUCUCCCCUUCUUCUUUCUUCCCCAUAAUACCACCACCGCUCUUCCCUCCCUUUCUCCAAUCCAAUCGCUCUCUUUCUAUAUAUAAUCAAUCAAGACGAAUAGUCCACCGAGUACUAAGCUGUUAGAUUAGAAGGCAGCAGCAAUGGCGUACGUCGAUCACGCCUUCUCCAUAUCCGACGAUGAUAUAAUGAUGGGAACCUCCUACACUGUCAACAACAAGCCUCCUAUCAAGGAGAUCGCCCUCGCCGUAGCUCUCCUCGUCUUUGGCACUCUCGGAAUCGUCAUCGGUGUCUUAAUGGCCGUCAAUGAAGUCGGCGGCGAUCGCGCUCACGGGAUUUUUUUUGCAUUACUGGGUGGAAUUUUGUUCCUUCCGGGAUUCUAUUACACUCGUAUUGCGUACUAUGCUUAUAAAGGCUAUAAAGGUUUCUCCUUUUCCAACAUACCUCCUGUCUAAAGAUGGACUGAUCAAUGUACAUAGGUAACAAAUUUAUGGUUGGAUGAGCAAUGGACAAAGUUCUUAGGCGUGGCCAUGCAUCCAGUGUGUUGUGAUUGAUGAGAGGGAGAAAUUUUUAAAGAAAUUAGAACCUGUCCGAUGCGCUCUUCUCUCCCGCUCUCUCCACAGGCCGGUUUGAACGAUUGUGCCUCUGCUAGCCGCCGCAGCCCAGCCGGUUCGUGCAUCCCGCCGCAAAUAGAAGUUCCCCGUCCGCCAGUAGCAGCAGCCACCGCCUCCUGCGCGCCUCCUCCGCCAAGCCGGCGCGCUGAAGCCGCCAAACCAUCAUCAGCCCGGUUCAAACCGCAUCCUCCGCCGCGCGCUGCUCCCGAUCUCCAACUGCUGCUGUUCUGCGCUGCCACUGACCAUCAGCUGCGAGUCACCAAUGGAAAUUUCAGGGAAGUCAUUUACUCUUGAUCUAUAUUGCAUUCUCUUGAGAAACCUCUAUCGAUUAUUGCCUAGAUAUUAUACAAAAUAAGUUGAUGAUGAAGAAUUUUAAUUUCGGCGAUUUUCGUAGAGGUUCUUUGAUGCAACCGAUAAAUGGAUGCAUAUAGAUUAUUGGGAGAGAUUAUUGGGUGAUUGAUAUUGUCGAAUAAUAUUUAAAUGUUUGUUGUGAAAUUGUUCUUGGUGUUGGGGUUAAUUGAGGACUUGCUAUUUAGUUGUUGAAUUUUCUGGCGUGCAGGCAUUAUGACUAAAGUGCGGGCAUCGGAUUCGGUUCCCGCAAGGGUUCCAAUAGCUACGAGGUUGUCAACUAUUUCAAAGACGAAAGGAUGCAAAAGAACAAGCAUUGAGGGAACGGACAUCUUCUUAGUUGCGGGGUAGAGAUACGGGUAAUACAAUGACCACAAUUCCAGUCGAUUUUCCUACUUCUGUAUCCACCAAUGUACGGGCACAAAAAGGUAACUCAGUUCAAGUGUUGCCUCCAACUCAAGUUGGGGGCCAUUUACAUUCUUUCACACCCAAGGAACAUACAAGGUACGAACUUUUGUGCACUAAGAGCAUUUUCUCGGGUAAGUACAUUCACGUUGAAACACUUGAGAAGUUACGCAUUAAAGAUGUUGUUCUUGAUUACAUAUCUAGCAUUGGUUGGAGUUGUUUAUUUACUUAUCAACAACCUGGUUUCAUUGAACUUGCCCUCGAGUUCUUCUCUACAUUUAUGUUUGACUUGCCUAAACAAUUUGAUGUAAUGCAACCUGAUGUAAUUAGAUUCUCUUUGCUUGGUAAAGAGUUUAAGCUUUGUUUAGCAGAAUUUAAUUUACAUUUAGGUUUUGUGACUUCCGAGGAGCUUGAGGAUGAUUCUUUCAAUACCGAUGCAUGUGCGUUUAUUGAGCCCUUUUCUGUUUCAGUCGAGAAAUUACGGAGUGAAUUUUCUGUGGAUUGAAAAGUUUGUUUUGACAAUAAUAUGCCUGCUCGUAGAUUGAAGGA